UGUGUGCAUGGAUUUUGAGUAGUGAAUGAUGGUUCUUAGGUCUUAAAACAUACUUCAUUGUGGUAGAUAGCUCCCUCGGCCUCCCAAAUAUACAAAGGGUUUCAAGAGCCUCGGAUUUUCUUCAAUCAAUCAUUCAGAUCAUGUAGUUUGAAUGUAAAUUCUUUUAUAGUUGUAGCUUUUGGUGUUAGUUUUUCAACAACUUAUUGUUCACUUAAUUCAAAAUAAGGAUAAAUGUUUGGUGAAUUUUUAAGUGUGAGGGGAGUUGGUUGCUUAGCAGUUUAGAUCACCUAAUUUUGACAAGACAUUUCUUAGUGCCUUUGAAUUGGAUUAUUGUGAAAGUUUAGAGAAUAAGUGCAACUCUAAGCUGAGCUUCUAGUGACAUAAUUUUUUAUCAAAUUUGAAGAUGAAUUGAUUUUUAAAUGAAUUUUUAAAUAGAGGGAGGUUGCAUGCCGUGGCAGUCUUAGUAAUUCAACAUUGGAAGAUCAUUUCUCACGGCUCAGAUAUUGGAUUGAGUUAAAAGUUGUUGGAGCAGGAGCACCUUCAAGUUAAAUUUGAAAAAACCAAAAAAAAAUUCAAUUGGAUAUCAUCACGAUUUUUGGAAAUUUUUGGGGUAGAAGGAGG
rnacentral:lncRNA from 1 species